rnacentral:rRNA from 1 species
CCUACGGGAGGCAGCAGUAGGGAAUAUUGCUCAAUGGGGGAAACUCUGAAGCAGCAACGCCGCGUGGAGGAUGAAGGUUUUAGGAUUGUAAACUCCUUUUGUGAGAGAAGAUAAUGACGGUAUCUCACGAAUAAGCACCGGCUAAAUCUGUGCCAGCAGCCGCGGGAAUACGGAGGGUGCAAGCGUUACUCGGAAUCACUGGGCGUAAAGAGUGCGCAGGCGGGCUUGUAAGUAAGAUGUGAAAUCCUGUAGCUUAACUAAAGAACUGCAUUUGAAACUAUGAGUCUAGAGUGUGAGAGAGGUAGGUGGAAUUCUUGGUGUAGGGGUAAAAUGCGUAGAUAUCAAGAGGAAUACUCAUGGCGAAGGCGACCUACUGGAACAUUACUGACGCUCAUGCACGAAAGCGUGGGGAGCAAACAGGAUUAGAUACCCGAGUAGUC